AUGACUAGUUGCCAGCAUUUAGUUGGGCACUCUAGUAAGACUGCCGGUGACAAACCGGAGGAAGGUGGGGAUGACGUCAAAUCAUCAUGCCCCUUAUGACCUGGGCUACACACGUGCUACAAUGGAUGGUACAACGAGUUGCGAGACCGCGAGGUCAAGCUAAUCUCUUAAAGCCAUUCUCAGUUCGGACUGUAGGCUGCAACUCGCCUACACGAAGUCGGAAUCGCUAGUAAUCGCGGAUCAGCACGCCGCGGUGAAUACGUUCCCGGGCCUUGUACACACCGCCCGUCACACCAUGAGAGUUUGUAACACCCGAAGCCGGUGGCGUAACCCUUUUAGGGAGCGAGCCGUCUAAGGUGGGACAAAUGAUUAGGGUGAAGUCGUAACAAGGUAGCCGUAGGAGAACCUGCGGCUGGAUCACCUCCUUUCU
rnacentral:rRNA from 2 species